rnacentral:misc_RNA from 1 species
UACUGUAGGAGCUGCCGAAGGCUGUGAUCUUUUGAUCUUUUGGUGUCGCGACAAAGAAAGAUCAAAAGAUCGCAGCCUUCGGCAGCUCCUACCCGG